CUGGUGGGCUAAUCUCAGUUGCUUCCUCUCUCUCUUGCAUCUUUCUGAUCUCCUUUGUUAAUGCUUUAGAGUCUCUUCUUUUGUGUCCUCUGUUCAUUCUGCUUUCUCAACUUGGAGUUCCAUUUUCCUUCUAUUUUUGUCCUUUUUUCAAUUGACAUGGAGUUUGAUAAUAGUGAGACCCAAGGCGACAACUUUAGGAAUGACUAGGGCCCUAGGUUGAUCCUUGCUCAGAUUGGGUAUGGGGUAGAGACCUAUAUCGGUCCCACCACCUCAAACCCCCUGGCUCAAUUUGAGCUAUCUGGUUCAGAUGCUCCUAAGCAUGGGCUGGGGGUGGAGCAGUUUGCCCUUAAUUCGACUUGAAAAGGGUCUGGGCUCAGUAUCAGUUUUCUAUCUUGUUUUGACUGGAACAUCUGGUUAGUCCAGUCGAGUGAUUGAUGCUCCCUAGUGGUGGCUUGUGAUUUACGAGGAGUUUUUCUGAGCUGGACU
rnacentral:lncRNA from 1 species